GAGGAGGUAGUCUAGUUGUCAGGGUGCUUGACUCACAGCCGAAAGGUUCUGGGUUCGAUCCCCAAUGUCCUCA